CUACUUCAACAUGUAUUUCGCUCAUUAUUUCGCUCUUGUAGUUGGCUUUCUGUAGUGAAUUUUGUUUCAUUAGUGUUGAUUUUGCUUGUUAAUUCACUCUAUAUGUUAUGCACCACUCCCCCCUGUAAAGCGUAUGCGCUUGAGGCUAAUAAAGUUAAAUGAAAUGAAAGUGCACAGCGCAUUCAGUCUAAAAUCUCUUAGUAGGCCGUAUGCAUCAAAGCCUCAUUUUCGUUUUUUAGUAGGCGGAGCUGCAACCAGCAUCACGAACACGGUUUUGACUAGCCAAAGUGGAAGUAGGAGCUCUGGAAAGGAGGAUGCUGGCACAGAUAGCGGAUCGGAUUCAGAGGACACAGAAAACGACGGGGGUGAUGAGAAGGAUAUCAAAGACCAGAAGAAUUCUAAAGAGAACCAGAAACCAGGUAUGUAUCUCUUGUCACAUGUGUAGACCACUUCAAACAGAAAUUGAUAUGUAGGCUAAGCAAUAAACAAACGGAGUUAUAGGAGA